UACCGGGGCUUCUCCUGGGUAGCCGUGGGUUUGGUUCCUGGGAUUCUUCCUCCUGGCAUCCCCCGGGGGUGGGCCACAGAGAAGCCACCCCAGGGAAUGAGUAGGUGUGGCCCAGUGAUGGGACCUGGGAACACAUCCCCAGCAGCAGGGUUAGCACAGCCAGGGCUCAGAGGCGCGGCGGGCCUGUACUCUGUGUGUGUGCCUGUCUGCGUGUGUAUGUGUGUGCUCUGUGUGUGUAUGUGUGUGAGUGUGUGUGCGUGUCUGUGUGUGUGCGCGUGUCUGUGUGUGUGCGCGUGUCAGGCCUCCAUUGUCACCUCAUCCGACUUUGGAGAUGUAGAAACUGAGGCAUAGGCAGGCCAGGUGGAUGUGCCCAGGUCACAGCUGUGCAUGGCUGCCCACAGCCUGGGCAUCGGGGGGAGGGGCGCUCAGCCUGUGUGGGUCUGGACCCUGUCACAAGCUUGGUGUGAAUGCUGGGCAGAGUCCCUGGGGCAGGGACGCCAUGGAGGCCCCAGCCUGAACCGUCCACUGUAGAAAUGAAGUGCAGGCCUCCCAGCCACAUUUUGGACUGGGUUUCCUGGGAUGGUGGCUGAUGAAGUCCCAGGGUGGGAUCGCCUGGUGACUCGCAGGCGGGUGACAGGAAC
rnacentral:lncRNA from 1 species